AAAACGAAAAAAACAUGUUCUUUCAUUUUUUUAUUUUCUAAUUCCAAACAGUUUUUUUAUUUUUUAUUUGUUGCAAAUCUACUUAUCUUUUGAUGUUUGUGUUAUUAGUUUUUCACUUAUUUAAUUUUUUCUUCAUUUUUAGUUUUUUUUACAUUUUUAAAAAUUUAUUAUAUUUUUAUCAUUUUUUUCAAGCUCGCCAUGUUAUACUCGAGAAAAACCUUAUCAUUUAAAACUCUCAGACAUUAUUUAUGGCUAUGAUAUAUAUAUAUAGCUUCAGUAAAAUCGGACUCGUAUGGAUGAACUUUCUUUCACUAAUUAUUGGUGGCCUAUUAUUUAUUAAUUCAUGCACGAAGCAGAUCUUAUAAAGUGCAUUUUGAAAAGGAUUAUGGAGGAAGUGAACCCUAAAUACCAGCUCAUGUGCGCUAUCCUACAGAUCUUAAUUCUUGCGUAAAUGAGGUGAUCGAACGGUUGGAUAGGAAAGUUAGAAUGGUUGGGAUUUGUGGGAUAGGCGGCAUCGGGAAGACAACCCUUGCCAAAGCAGUCUACAACAGAUUAUUAAAGCAGCACAAUGAGAACUGUUCCAGUUUCGAGAACUGUUCCAGCUUCGAGAAGUGCAGCUUCCUUGCAAAUGUCCGCGAAGUAUCAAAGCAGAAGAGUGGAAUCGUUCGCUUGCAAGAGCAGCUGCUUCGUGAUGUCCUUAGAUUAGAAAUGCAAAUAAACGACAAGGACGACAGCAUCACCAAGAUCUGAAAUAGAAUUGGAGACAUGAAAGUGCUUGUAGUUCUCGACGAUGUUGAUCAUAAAGACCAGCUCGAUGCGCUGGUCGGCAGCCAGUCAGGUUGGUUCAGUGGCGAAAGCAUAACCAUUGUCACUUGUAGAGAUGAAAGCAUCUUCAAGGGACGACAGAAGGUCAUCUAUAUGGUUCUGGAUUUCUGGAAUUGGAUCCUGCCCAAUCGCUUAAACUUUUCAGUCAGCAUGCGUUUAAGCAACCCGAGCCAAAAUCCGAUUGGAGAGGUGAAUUGUCGAAGAAAGUUGUGUCAAUUUCUGGUGGGAUACCUCUGUGCCUCCAUAUAUUUGGGAGCCUCUUUUCUGACAUUAAAUCCAUUGAAGGAUGGGAGUCAAAGCUGGAGCAAUUAAAACGGGAUCAAAAUGAAGAAGUCCAUGUUAGGUUAAAAAUAAGCUAUGACAGCCUUGAUACUAAAAAACAGCGGAUAUUCUUGGACAUAGCAUGUUUUCUUAUUGGUUGACAGGAUUGGGAGCAAGCUUACCCAGGGGAGUUGGAGAGAUGGGAAGCGAGGAAAGAAAAGAAAGAAUACGCAAUGCUCAUGUGGGAAGGUUCCAGACUUUACCCAACUGAUGCAAUUGAAGAGUUGCAGCGUAAAUUUCUAAUCAGCAUAAAUGAUGAGCAUGGCACCUUUGAAAUGCAUGAUCAAAUACUAGACAUGGGAAGAAAUAUUGUCAAGCAGGAGCCGGUGGCAACCAGGUUUUGGAAAAAUAACGAAACAUCGCAAAUGCUUCAACGAACAAAGGGAACAGAGAAGGUUGAAGCCAUAACUUUCCACCGUCACGACGGGCAACAUAAUAUUCCACCUUUGAACAAGAUAUCUUUUAGAAACAUGGAUGAGCUGAGAAUACUUGAUACAAGCUGCGUCAGGAUGGAGGGCUCGUAUCAGGAUCUACCCAAAUCGUUGAAGUUCCUGAGGUGGUGGCAGUGUCCAUUGAAAUCAUUGCCGAUCAUCGACUUCGAUGUUAUGAACAUUGUAGUGGUCGACCUGACAAAGAGCAUCAUAGAGGAGUUUCUAGGUCCAAGUGUGACUAACACGUGGUUUUUUCGUUACCUCCACCCCCAAGAGGUGAACUACUCGCGGACGUUCAGCCAAUUGAAAGUGCUUAUUCUCAAGAAUUGCAAGAACCUCAAGAGCUCCCCCGAUUUUAGGCUGAUUCCAAACGCAACCAAAUUGGUAUUUGAAGGGUGCACCAACUUGGGUCGAGUCCACGAAUCGAUCGGCGAUCUCCAAAGGUUGGUGCGCUUGAACUUGGGAAACUGUCGUUCUCUAAAGAAAACACCUGAAAGCAUCUGUCGCCUAAGUUCUUUGGAGAAGCUCGUCCUGAGCGGGUGUUGGUCACUACAGGAACUACCAGAAGAGAUUGGCAGGUUGACGUCUUUAAAGGUGCCAAAAAUUAGGCCCAGGGGAUAUGCAAAGACUUCCGGAGUCUGUUGGCCUGUUGACAAACCUGCAGGAGUUGGAAGCCAUCCUUUGCGAUUUGAAGACAAUCCCAGACAUUUCAAAUUUGCAAGCCCUGUGAUGUUUAAGUCUGAGCGGAUGCUUCCAGCUGAUGGAUGUUCCUGGCCUUAGCAAACUGAGACGCCUAUAGUCCCUAUUUCUCGACGGCUGUCGAGCACUAAGGGACAUGAAUGACACGAUGAAGGAGGCCAAAUUCGAACAUUGCAAAUAUCUCGGCAUUCCUGGACAGCCGAUUGAUUAUUCCCGACCCAAAUCUCCACAUGGACUAUGGACAUGGACAUGGUCAUGGUCGGUAUGGACAUGGUCGGAGACGGUAUCUUUUUCUCUCCCCAACACUUACACUACUGUUCUUGUUCAGGGCCGCGUGCCACGGUCUUAUAGAGUAACCCAGUUUAGGGCAGAGAGGUAUCAUAAUUCUAGGAUAAUCUUUAGAUGGGCAGAAAGUAAUGAGGCACAGACUGAACCGGAAGAGGUGAUACGGAUCGCCCGCCGUGGAGCUUUCAUCCCUCAAAAGUUGGAGGAUGAUAAAGGGAAAGGAGUCAGGGUAAGAGGUGGGAAGGGCGUUAUGUUUCUGUGUCAUAAAGUGAUAGGGCGCGACAUUCAAGUUGAAGGGUGCACCGUUGCUAUCGCUGACACUGACACAACUCAGAAUCCCAAAUACAGAAAGAAUGGAGGGACCUUUGACCCUUUUUCGGGUGGGGGAAUUAAUACCUCUUAUUCACCCCAAAGAGAUGGGAAGGGAUACCGAAGGAUCUACAUCACGUUCGAAGCGGAAAGCGACUUCCAAGGUACCCAUUUCCGUAUCGAAUUGCACAGGAGGUAACGACCAUGAGAUCCAUGCGGUUUGCUUUUGGUUAUAUAUUGGUUGCAACCUUUGACUGGUUUACUAUUGAUGGGGUUGGAUGUAAAUUAAGGACAAUAUUCAACCUUAUUUUUCAUGUAAUAUCCAAUCAAUAUUUUUAAUAUUUAUAAAAUAAAUAUUGGACCUGAA